rnacentral:lncRNA from 1 species
UGACUCUUGGUUCCUGUUGGUGACUUGGUUCAGAAGUGUGGGUCUCAGAUGACUUUGAUUGGUUCUGAAUUCAUGCUGAAGCUCUAAUCCUGUGUCUUGAGAUGCACAACCAACCAGUCAUAUUUGCAUCAUUUGCAUCAUAGCAUGUUUAUUUUCAAAAAAAAUAAUGCAAUAAAAAGAAAUGAAAAAAGAAAAGAGAAAAGAAAAAAGCUAAUCUUCUCAUGCAUAUCAUUUCUCAGGUUCAUUCAGGAGUCUGUUCACUGUGAGAGAUGGCAACCGUUCCAGAGUUGAAGAGGAAGACUUGCACCUACAGUUUUCACCGUGAGCCAUU